rnacentral:tRNA from 2 species
GCCGGAAUGGCGGAAUAGGCAGACGCAAGGGACUUAAAAUCCCUCGAUGGCAACAUCGUAUCGGUUCGACCCCGAUUUUCGGCACCA